rnacentral:lncRNA from 11 species
GCCGGCAGAACAUUGAAUAAGCAAAAAUGUUGGAUAAUAAGGAGAGAUUAAGGAAAAGCCUAUUAAAUAUAAAAUUAUGUUAUUAUUUUACAAAUUAAGCACCAAAACAUCGUGCUUUACAACAAAUGGAUAGAAAAAGCAGUUCAGUACACGAUAACGUUAUGUAAUAAUUACUGUAUUUAUGAAUUUAGCACCAAAAUUUUGCAAUUUAUUGAAAACUGACUACAAAAACCUUGACUACUAAAAGGCAGACUGCGUUGGAUAAUACAGAACCUUGGCUAAGCGGAGCUUGGAUAAGCGAGACUCUACUGUAAUACAGUUCAGAGCAGAUAAUGUGGAUUAUCUUCUUUGAUAAUCUGGAUUAUAUGGCAUCGUAGAAGGGGCCUCCGUUUUGCACAGGGUAUAGACAUUUAUUCUGGCGGAAAUACAUCUUCUGCUAGAUAAUCUGGGAUCCGAUCCUGGGAUAUAGGGCAGCAUAGAUCCAGCCUGUGAUUGCAUUCCUUCUCGCUUGCUUUUUCAAGCCCUUUCAUAGGCGAGGAGGAGAAAUGCGGUCUCUUCCCCUUUAAAUGGGGAGGCCUGAAAGCGAGGGGAGGGGCGGGGCGAGCCCCUGUCGCCUGGAGAGCCGCCCCUUUCGCCUCCCUAAGCCCCGCCCCGUCUCGUCUUGGCUGGUCGGUGUCGCGAAGCCGCCGGGUGGCUGAGUCGGUCCUGCUGCCCGCCUACUUUCCCACUAAGCCCUUGCGAAUUUGCUGCUGCUAGUGCGGAGCUGCUCGCUCGUCCGGCGCCGCGGGCCGCGAAGGAGGUGGGCUGAGCGAGCACCCGCCGUCAGUCUCCUCCUCCUCUUCCGCGAACAGGGCUGGAAAGCUGGCUCUUCUCCACGCUGCGCCUCCUGCCGGCUGUUUUGGUUGUAUAGUCGUCUCCGACUCUUCGUGACCUCAUGGACCAGUUCAUGCCAGAGCUCCCUGUUGGCCGUCGCUUCCCCCAGUUCCUUCAAGGUCAGGCCAGUCACUUCAAGGAUACUGUCCAUCCAUCUCGCCCUUGGUCUCGCAAACCACAAAUCAGUAAUAGGCAUCAAAGGCUUUUUUUUUUUGCCACUACUAGCUUUAAAUUGUAUUAAAUCAUCAAUGUAGAUGGGCCCAAAUAAGAAAAAGUAUUUGCUUACUGAUGGAAGGAUGAUGACGAAGGGAUUUAUGAAGUCUAUUUUCAUAGGAAGGCAUGAGGUUUGCAGCCAAGAAGGGGGGCAGUUGUGAUCUCAUUGGAGUUUUUAGCUUCCAAUGACUUCCAUUGAUCUCAAUAACAUUGAAAGGAAAUGUAUUUGAAGGCAUCAGCUUCAAGAAAAUUUAUUUUUACAUGCAAUUGACUUGUUUUCAUGUACAUGCCUGCCCCAUGCUCAUGGACUUAAGCACUUCCCAUAUUUUUGUUCUUUUAACACACACCCUUUUUAUUUGAUUUUAUGUUUCUAAAAUCCAUUAAAAUACAAAUGUGCUAAAUCUGAUAUAAUACAAUGUUCAUUAUAGCCCAAAUGCAUAUCAUCCUUUGCAAAUCUCACUGGUUGACGAAGGA